GACGAACCGUGCGAACGUUGUUCGGAAUCACUGGGCUUAAAGGGCGCGUAGGCGGGCUUGCCGGUCCGGGGUGAAAGCCCCCAGCUCAACUGGGGAAGCGCCUUGGAUACCGCAAGCCUGGAGGGAGGUAGGGGCGUGCGGAACUUCCGGUGGAGCGGUGAAAUGCGUAGAUAUCGGAAGGAACACCGGUGGCGAAAGCGGCGCGCUGGACCUCUUCUGACGCUGAGGCGCGAAGCCAGGGGAGCAAAGCGGG
rnacentral:rRNA from 1 species